rnacentral:rRNA from 3 species
GAUUGGUGCCUUCGGGAACUGUGAGACAGGUGCUGCAUGGCUGUCGUCAGCUCGUGUUGUGAAAUGUUGGGUUAAGUCCCGCAACGAGCGCAACCCUUAUCCUUUGUUGCCAGCGAUUAGGUCGGGAACUCAAAGGAGACUGCCAGUGAUAAACUGGAGGAAGGUGGGGAUGACGUCAAGUCAUCAUGGCCCUUACGACCAGGGCUACACACGUGCUACAAUGGCGCAUACAAAGAGAAGCGACCUCGCGAGAGCAAGCGGACCUCAUAAAGUGCGUCGUAGUCCGGAUUGGAGUCUGCAACUCGACUCCAUGAAGUCGGAAUCGCUAGUAAUCGUGGAUCAGAAUGCCACGGUGAAUACGUUCCCGGGCCUUGUACACACCGCCCGUCACACCAUGGGAGUGGGUUGCAAAAGAAGUAGGUAGCUUAACCUUCGGGAGGGCGCUUACCACUUUGUGAUUCAUGACUGGGGUGAAGUCGUAACAAGGUAACCGUAGGGGAACCUGCGGUUGGA